rnacentral:lncRNA from 1 species
UUGUUGUAGGACAAAUUGAGCUUCUCCAAGCUUUCCAUUCUGCAGAUUCGAGAUGAUAUCUUUUCUCCCAAAAAGUUAUGACUCAAAUCUAACUCUGAAAGGUGAAUCAAAUUAUCUAAUUCAAUUGGAAUUUGUUGACUCAAUUUAUUGUGGCUCAAAUUCAAAUAAUACAAUUUAACCAAGCUGCCAAGACUUUCUAGCACAAAGUUGCUCAGAUGAUUUGCAGACAAGUCAAGGUACUCGAGAUUAAUGAGUGACCCAAGCUCUCCAGGUAUACGUCCAGAGAGUUUAUUCCCACUCAAACUAAUCCUGUUGAGAUAAAUUAUAUUUCCAAGUUGUGUUGGAAUCUCACCAACAAUAUAAUUUGAAGAAAGAUCAAGAUAUUGUAACUGAGGUGAUUCUCCAAUCUCAAACGGUAUGUUUCCAGUAAUAUUAUUUAUUGAAACAUCUAAAAGACUUAAUUGUGGGCAUCUUCCCCAGUCUGAUAAGAUUUCACCAAAAAAAUUGUUAUUGCUGAGAUCAAUGAAAGUGAGGUUUGGAUAAGUAUCAAAAGUUUUGGUAUAUUUCCUGUUAAAUAGUUUUGGUUAAGACGUAGUUUGACUAGGUCGGUCAAAUUUCUGAAGCUUUUGAGAACUUGACCUCGAAAAUUGUUUUUAGUUAGCAGUAAAGAAUUUAACUUCUUGAGAUUUUCGAUUUCUUGAGGAAUGAUACCAGAAAGCUCAUUAUGAUAAAGGAAUAAGAAUCUCAAAUUGGUUAAAUUACCAAUUGAAAGAGGUAUAGCACCAUUAAGUUGAUUUAUGCACAACUUCAUAUCAAAAAGUGACUUUAAGUUUCCUAUUUGUUGAGGAAUGGAACCAGAAAAUGAAUUAUUAUAAAGAUAAAAAAAACGAAGUUGGUGAAAUUGCUAAGAGAACGAGGGAUUGGACCGCCCAAAAAAUUAGAAUCUAAAAUAAGGUGAUUAAGAAAAUUCAAUUGGCCUACCUCAUGUGGAAUUGAACCAUUCAAUUGAUUUCUAGAAAUGUGAAGGAUCGUCAGAUGAGUCAAAAGGCUAAUUUCUGAUGGUAUAUGACCAAACAACUUAUUAGUUGAAAAAUCAAGGUACUCUAGCUUGGAAAGGUUGCUGAUUUGAGGAGGGAUGAUAUCGAAGAGCUCGUUAUUAUAUAAAUCAAGAUACGCAAGAUGAGGAAAUGAUGAGAAUGAGAAUUCAAGAAGAGUACCAUUUAGACUUAUGCUUGUCAGAUUAAUUCCGAAGACUCUUCCGGCAUGGUUGCAAUGAAUUCCUGACCAAGUACACAAGCUUAUUUUGGUGGCAUUUACAAAAGAAAGAGACCAUGAAUGCAAGAGAGAACGACUAUGGACUUCAAGGCUGGCUUUCCAUUUCACAAGAGCAUGGGCUUCUUCUGUAGAAUUAGAAGAAACAGCAAGUGAAAAGUCUAAAACAAGAAACAAGAUGAGGGGAAAAACGAGUGAUAUAAUUACUCUAUUAUUUUUCAAGGCUGGUGAAUCCAUUGAUUAUGUUUUUGGGUAGCAAUAGAAAACAAAGAUGAAAAUAGAAGAUAAAUUACAGAAACCAAACGGUGAUGGAGAAAAGAAGCACGCUAAGAGCAAAUGUAUAGAAUACUAAGUCAAUUGACCUGUAAACUUGAGUUGCUUUCAAGGGAAAUAGUUUCUGGAGAUAUAAUAUAAGGGGGUAAAAACAAUCCUUGUACCACAUGCGACUAUCUUGUCUUUAGGACAAGUUAAUUUAUAUAUUAAAUUAAUAAAAUUUAUUAUAGUAUUAUAAUUUAGGAAAAUUCUAUAAUGCCGUAAUUAAAUUUACAACAUUGAUGCCGUAAUGGACGUGGACCGUUAGAUUAAAUCAACGAUUCACAAUAAUGAUAAAAUAAUAAAAACAUUUAAUUAAAUUAUGUUUAACCGGUUUAUAACCGGUUAAGUACUUUUUAAAAUAAAAUUCUACUGAUAAAUUUAAAGGAAAAAAGGAUUUACUUUAAAAAAAAAAAUACAAAGGGAAAACUUGAUCCCUAAUUAACGAAUUGCAAAAGAUAUAGUCACACCCACUGCCGCGUUAACUUCAGUUCAGGUGCACCGGCGAUACGUCUGCAGAUUGCGACCAUUCAUUGAGUUGAUUUUCUGUCUUGUUCGAAUUGCUGAGUCUCUGCCAUCGCUGCCUCUGUCUUGGUUUUGGCGGUCGUCACCUGUGCAAUGUACCUUUUUCCUCUUUCUCGUUCGAAUUGCUAAGCAAUUUUGUUUUCUUUGCAUGAAUUUGCUAAGUAAUUUAGUUUCAGAUUUCUCAUUCAAUUUUAUAUUAACUUAUAUAGUAUCAUCGUCAUAAUUUGUUCACGAAAUUCUUAGAUUCAAUUCCGCCAGAAUUAACAAGUCUCUGUACGCCGGAUUUGUUCACGGAAUUAAGAAGUUCAGUGUAAAGUGUUUGGGUUUGCUGGACCACAUAAACAUUGCCCCCUUGCCUGACAGUCUGUCACCAUGUCGGCUGGACCACACAGACAUCUUUCUCAAAGUCUUUGAGUGAAUUGUAAGUUCAUACUCUCCAUUUUCUAGUGUAUAUAUAUCUCAAUUGUGGGGAAGAAAUAUGUAAUAGUUCACUACUACUAAUAGAUCAUAAUUUAGUAUAAGUUCACGCUUAUGAUAAUUUGUAAUAAGAUGUUUGUUUUCCAGCAAUUGUUAAACUUGCAAUCCUUGAUCACACCGAGAGAGAGCAGAUCUGCAGAGAAAAUGACAGAGAGCUUGCUGUUGCGUGUAGAUCGACACAGAUAAGGAGAGAGAGAGAUUUGUUGUGAGCAAAUCAGGAAAAGAGGGAAAGAGAGUUCUGUGAGUCGCCUUCGUUUUGAGUAGAUUAGGAAACGAGGGAGAGAGUGCACUGUGAGCUGCCAUCAUCAUUGUCCAAAACUCCAAAAGCUUUUACUACCAUCACUGCCAAAAUUGAAAAACAAGAAGCAAGCAAUGAAUUCCUGACCAAGUACACAAGCUUGUCCAAACUUGCUGCGAUAGCAUGAUAAUAAUCUAAUUAUUUAGAAAAAUAAAAUUACAAGCAUAAUAGUAACCUAGCUAGAAAAAUAAGACCUAAUAUAAACAAGAUUUCAAACAUUAACCAAGUUAUUUUCAGAACAUUAUCUCAAAUCUAACUCCUACGCACAUGAACAUGACACAUUAUUUUGCAACAAAUAAUUUUCAGAACAUUAUAAGAGAAACUAGAGGCAAAACGGGAAAAAAAUUAUAAUUCUGAAAUUACAACUAUAGUAGUAAUCGAUUUAUUUAGGGACAUUGUUAAUAAUUUCACACUUACAAUAAUACUCAACAGGCAAAACAUAAUUAAGGCUGACUUUAUACUUCUGGGGCUGAAUGAGUAUUUUUAAAAUAAAUGGGUCAUUUGUAAUAUUUUGACUUAAUGGGGACUAGUUUGAAAUUAGCCAUAUUAAAACUUUUGCAACUUGUCCAGAAUACGUCUUUUCCUAAUUCAAUAGUUCCAUUCAAUCCUACAAUUUCCUUGCCCAGUGUUUUCUAACGACCACAUAGAACACAAUGAAUGAUGAUCAACAAGGUUAAUUCUUCAUUGUCUUUUAAUGAUUUGUUACUCUUGCUAUUAUUUUUUAUGUUAUUUUCUCUCUUUCUAAAAAGAGUAGUGUUGUUUAACCUUUUAAAAUUAAUAUUAAUUGUGUCUAUUAGAAUUUACAGGCUAUUGUCUAGAAGUGCCAUUUCACUUAUUGUAAUAUUUUCUUAUUGUAUAAUGACAGGCAUUAACAAAAAUUACAAAGUGCCAGAGCUUGAUGUUCUAUCAUCAUAUGAUAUUCCUUCAACAACUCAAGCAGAAAUACAAUCAAGUUUUUUAGUUGUUCAUAACAAAACAAUUGAACCAAAUUAUUUUUGUAAUAUUUUGAAAAUCAAAUAACAGUAUCAGUUUAUUUUAGUUGGUGGUAAUAAAAUAAUAGAAUUAGACUAUUUUAUCUGUCAAUAAUAAAACAAUAGUAUCAAUUGAAGUUAGCUAUUCAUGAUAAAAAAAAAUUAUUCAUACUCUAUUAUGACAGGGAGGGAUGGUUCAAACUCUAUUUAUUGGAAUGAUAAAAGCAUGUAUGAACUCACUGCUGAAGACGUUAUUGGAAAGCGAUUUGCAUCACUUGAAGAAGCUACAAAUUUUUAUCAAAAACACUAAAAAAUAAUGUGUUUUAGUGUUCGCAUUUAUGAUGGGAGACGUGAUACAAAUGUUGCACCCAUAAUGAAACAUUGGGUUUGCAGUAGAGAAGGUGAAAGGGAUAAAAAGUACAUUGAGCAUACAAACAGAAUCCGUGAACCUAGAGCUAUUACAAGAGUCAACUGUCGAGCAGCAUUCAGGGUAAAUUUAGAUAAGGAGUCCAAAAUUUGGGUUGCUAGAAGCUUUGUUCCGAAACACUCUCAUGAGUUGGCAGCAGGUUUUGCGACUGAAUUUCUUCGAUCUUAUCGAAUAGUUAAAGAUUCUGACAACGUUCUAGCUAAUUCAAUGAAAACAGUUGGUAUAAAGACAAGUCAGAUUAUGGACUUCUUUGUCAACCAGGCUGGAGAUUAUGACAAAUUGGGCUUUGGAUUAAAGGAUUUAUAUAACAAUUUAGAUAAUGAAAGUCGAUCCAUGAUACUUGAAACAGACUCAAAAGUUGCACUUGCAUACUUAAAUGCAAAAGCCGACAUAGAUCCAGAUUUCUUUUGUAAGUACUCUGUAGAUGAGGAGAAUAGACUUGCAAACUUAUUCUGGGUAGAUUCUAUUGCUCGAUUGGAUUAUAGUUACUUCGGCAAUGUUUUGGCUUUCGAUAGUACUUACAAGACAAAUGAGUAUGGGAAGCCUUUAGUUAUUCUAUUGGAUGUUAAUAAUCAUUAUGCAACAAGUUUUUUUUUGUUGUGCAAUUCUCACGGAUGAGACGGUUGAGACCUACACAUGGGUGCUUAAAACAUUUUUAAGUGCUAUGAAUAAUAGAAAGCCUAUAUCUAUUGUGAUUGAUGGAGAUAGAGCGAUGCGCAAAGCAAUUAAAAAGGUAGUUCCUGAAGCUCAGCAUCGACUGUGUAUUUGGCAUCUACAAAGAAAUGCACAAUCUAAUGUACAUAAAACGCUUGAAUUUGUUAGAAGGUUUAAGGAUUUUCUGUUGGGAAAUUACAGACCCGAAGAAUUUGAGCAAUUAUGGCAGAACAUGGUGAAAGAGCUUGGUCUUCAAAAUAAUGAUUGGGUUAAGAAGAUGUACUCAAAACGAGAGAGANNNNNNNNNNNNNNNNNNNNNNNNNNNNNNNNNNNNNNNNNNNNNNNNNNNNNNNNNNNNNNNNNNNNNNNNNNNNNNNNNNNNNNNNNNNNNNNNNNNNGAGUAAAUUAAUGUUAGAGUUGUAAUUGUACGAAGAACCUUAUAAACAAAACCAAAAACUUAGAAAAAUGACAUAUAACUAGUAAAUUGACAUUAAUUGUGAAAUGAAACAAAAAAAUGUAUUAAGCAUACAUAAAACUAGUAAAUUGAUAGAAAAAUGAGUAAAUUAAUGUUGAAGUUAUAAAUUGCAAGAAGAACUUGUAAACAAAAUAAAAACUUAGAAAAAUGACAUAAAACUUGUAAAUUGACAUUAAGUAUGAAAUGAAACAAAAAAUUUGUAAACCACACAUAAAACUAGUAAAUUAAUGGAAAAAAUGGUAAAUUAAUGUUGGAGUUGUAAUUGGCAAGAAGAACUUGUAAACAAAACAAAAACUUAGAAAAAUGACAUAGAACUUGUAAAUUGACAUUAAGUGUGAAAUAAAACAAAAAAUAUAUAAAUCACACAUAAAACUAGUAAAUUAAUGUUCGAGUUGUAAAUUGUAAAAAGAACUUGUAAAUUAACAUUAAGUGUGAAAUGAAACAAUAAAUUUGUAAACCACACAUAAAAAUAAUAAAUUAAUGUUGGAGUUGUAAAUUAAUGAAAAAAAUUGGUAAAUUAAUGUCAGAGUUGUAAAUUGUAAGAAGAACUUGUAAACAAAACAAAAACUUAGAAAAAUGACAUAGAACUUGUAAAUUAACAUUAAGUGUGAAAUGAAACAAUAAAUUUGUAAACCACACAUAAAAAUAAUAAAUUAAUGGAAAAAAUAGUAAAUAAAUGUUGGAGUUGUAAAUUGUAAGAAAAACUUGUAAACAAAACAAAAAUUUAGAAAAAUGAUAUAGACCUUGUAAAUUGAUAUUAAGUGUGAAAUGAAACAAUAAAUUUGUAAACCACACAUAAAACUAAUAAAUUAAUGAAAAAAUUGGUAAAUUAAUGUUGGAGUUGUAAAUUACAAGAAGAAAUUGUAAACAAAACAAAAACUUAGAAAAAUGACAUAGAACUUGUAAAUUGACAUUAUGUGUGAAAUGAAACAAUAAAUUUGUAAACCACACAUAAAAUUAAUAAAUUAAUGUUGGAGUUAUAAUUUGCACGACGAAGUUGUAAACAAAACAAAAACUUAGAAAAAUGACAUACAACUAGUAAAUUGACAUUAAUUUUGAAAUGAAACAAAAAAUGUGUAAAUCACACAUAAUACUAGUAAAUUGAUGGAAAAAUGGGUAAAUUAAUGAUGGAGUUGUAAUUGGCCAGAAGAACUUGUAAACAAAAUAAAAAUUUAGAAAAAUGAUAUAGAACUUUUAAAUUGACAUUAAGUGUGAAAUGAAAUAAAAAAUGUGUAAAUCACACAUAAAACUAGUAAAUUGAUGGAAAAAUGAGUAAAUUAAUGUUGGAAUUGUAAAUUAUAAGAAGAACUUGUAAACAAAACAAAAAUUUAGAAAAAUGACAUAGAACUUGUAAAUUGACAUUAAGUGUGAAAUAAAAUAAAAAAUUUGUAAACCACACAUAAAACUAAUAAAUUAAUGAAAAAAUAGAUAAAUUAAUGUUAGAGUUGUAAAUUAUAAGAAGAACUUGUAAAUAAAACAAAAACUUGUAAAUGUUGCAUAAAACUUGUUAAUCAACAUUAACUUGUAAAAGUUUCAUAAAACUUGUAAAUCACACAUAAAAUUGGUAAAUGUAACAUGGAAUUUGAACAAAAAAGAGUAAUUAUCUCCUACUUAGGUAACAUGUUACCUAUUUAUUUAGAAUUAAUGAUAGUGAUUUUUUAUUCAAAUCUAACGGUCCACGUCCAUUACGACAUCAAUGUUGUAAAUUUAAUUACGGCAUUAUAGAAUGAUCCUAUAAUUUUAAAAUAUGGAAAUUAUAAUUUAAGACAAAGACACAUGCAUUGCAAUAGUAAUCACUUGUUUGUCGCGGCACGAGGAUGACUUCCCGUCAUCUUUGCAACCAAAAGUCAUAUAAAAAAAUAAUAAAUAUGAUUGUCCAUUCUCUUGUAUAAACAAAUAACAAUGCUGAUAUUUAAUUUGAAUUUUAUUCACCGAAAUAAAUAAAUUUAAUAUUUUUUAAUUAAAAUCAGACGAAAAUUGGGAGAUGGCUCGUCGCCUGGUAAACAUCUUUGGGAGAUGGGCCUCCACCCAUCAACUAUCCAUACAAAUAAUAAAUUUCGGGCUACAUAUCAUUUUUUAAUGAGUCAAACUAUUGACACUCUUCCAAAAUCUUCAUAAAAUUUCUUUUUUUAAAAAAAAUUAUAUUCUAUUUAAUAUUAAAGGUAUUUUUUUCUGACAUAUUAUUUUAGCACCUAAAUUUUUUGAUAAUUAUUAUUUUUUUAUAUAUUUUUACAAUUUACCAUCAAACUAUUAAAGCGUAAACUAUGUAAGUAUAAUUUAACCUUCUAAAUUAAAGAAAUACAAAAUUAAUUAUAUACCAAAAAAAUAAUAGUGUUAUCAAUUAUUAAGUAGGAAAAAGUAAUUAUCCAAAAAUUUUGAUAGUAAAGUGAUAUGCCAAAAAAUAUUAGGUAGCAAAGUGAUAAAAUCUAUAUAUUUUUUAAAAAAUCAAUCAUCACAAUUCAUAGUUAGCGAUAAUAUCCGUUUAUUAAAAAAAAAAUCAACGGCUUUGUUUAACAUUUACUUUAAAAAUGAAUGAUGACAAUUCUUCGCUAGUGACAACUAACAUAAGCAUUGCAUGGUCCCGUUAAGAGAAAAAAAAAGGGGGGCUGCAUAGACAAAUAGAAAGAAUGAAGCUUUUCACACACGCCUACUAAAUAUUGAAAUUAAAAUGUAAAACGAAGACAUAUUUGCCACGAUAAUAAUCACUUACUUGUCGCUACAUAAGGAUGACUUCCAGUCUUCUUUGGAGUCAAAGACGUGCUUGCAGCAACAGUCAUCGCCUAGUUGUCGCUGUACAAGGAUGACUUCCAGUCUUCUUUGGAAUCCAAGUCAUAUAAAGAAAAAAAAUACAAUAGAUACAAAUUUUCAUCCUUUCGAGUGAACAAAUAGCAAUACCGAUAUUGAAUCUGAAAUUUUAUCUAUCGAAAUAAAUAAAAUUAUUUACAGUUGGAUAAAAUUUUAUUUAAUUUAUUUUCUGUUUGUGUUGUGUCUUAAUUUAAUUCUUAUGUUUGUUACAAUAAUUUUGUUUUUAUUAAAGAAUUACUUCUUAAAUUCAGAUUGUUUGAAUGAUAUAAAAAAAAUAUUAUACAAGUAAAAUACACUAAAGAGAGAAAAAUUAUAAAUAGAAUUAAUUCUAUUUGUAUUUGUCCUUAAAUAUAAUUAUAAUCUAAUAUAAAUUUCAUAAAAUUAAAAAAUUCAACUUGGUUUCAUUGAACAAAGAAAAUUCUUAGCUAGUGCAAGAGGCAUCAGAGGGCCCCGCAAAAAAAUAUGAAUGGGCUACACCGACCGCCCGAAUUCUAUGAAUAUUAAUAAUAGAUGCAAAAGAAUACAAAUUUAUCAUUUUUUCCUUCUUCAAUGAAUAUCAAUUUCCUUUUUUUUUGGGAGAAAUAAAUUAACUUAUUAUCCAAGGAAGAGAGCUGGUUGUAUUAGAUUUAAUAUGAUAGAAUAACUAGCAGAGAGUUUACUGCAAAAAAUAAAGAAAAUAUGGAGAGACAUAUUUUCAAGGCAGUUGUAGAAUAAUUAAUAAAAGAGAGAUUGUCAUAUUCUCCCUACUGAAAUCAAUAUAGAUCACUUACUUUUUGCUAUUUUCAUAAUAGUCAAUAAUUCCCUUGGCAACAUAAUUUAAUAGUAUUACUGGGGUUGCUUUAUUCACAUUUAUUAUAAAUUGAAUAAAUCAUAUGAAUGUAAAUUAAAAUAAAUCAUAUAAAUGAAAAUUAAAAUAAAAAAAUUGCAGCACUAAAAUAAAAAAUAUAUAUUUUGGCGUGAAUAAAAAAUUAAUAAUAAGAUAUUUUUUCUUUUAUUUUUUAUUUUUAAAUAUUUUCUUAUAGGAAAUAUAUAUAUUUUAUAUUCCGAUGAUAAGGUAUUACAUGAAGAGUAAUGAUAUAGCCACAGACUCUUGUAUAAAUUUAUUUUAUACAAAUUGAUGCUGCAUUAAUUUAUUAGUUGAAUUAAAUAUCUCUUGGCCUACAUGAUUUAUUUAUAUUAUUUUAUAUUUUCAUUCAACCAAUAAAUUAAUACCACAUCAGUUUGUAUAAAAUUAGUUUAUACAAGAGUUUGUGGCUAUAUCAUCACUCUUAUAUGAAUAACCCAUUUACCUUUAUUUUUCUUUAAAUAUUUUUAUGCUCACUGAGUUUUUUUAUAUUAUGACAAAAAAUAAGGAGAGAAGUGUUAAAUAUUAAUUUUAAUAAAAGAGAAAUUAUUUGCAGAGCAAUGAAGGACCCCGCAAAGAAAUAAAAAUGUGCUUGCUGCUUGUAGAAAAUUCUUAGUCUCAGACGAGCAUUAACGUCUCAGUGCCUUCCUCGGACCGUUGGCUCCCCAAUCCCAACUACUAUAAAUAAUAUACAUUCAAGAGAACACUAAUUUAUCAUCCAUUCAUCCUUUCCAUCUUCAAUUAAUACUCGUUUGUUGAUAUUAAUUUCCUCUUACUUCCUUUAUUUUUGGCAUAACGAAAAUGGGAUUGGGCUCUAAGAUUUUCCUUCUUUUAGGUCUUGUAAUGACUAUUGUUGUUCUUCUUACUUCUACGAAGGUGGCAGCUGCUAGAAACAUGGCUGAGGCUUCCACUGCAACACGAAAAGGUGAGCGUCUUGGUUUAUGCAUUAAUUUGGGUCAUCUUAUAUAUAACAUAACAAUCAGAUUAAUUUCUUCUAGCAAAGCCAAUUUAUAAGCUGUGUUGGUCGUUAUAUGGUGGUGACCGAUGGCUUACAAAAAUGUCGUACUACGUAAUAUUUAUCGUGAAUAAUAUUGAAGAAGUGAAUUAAUUUAAAAAAAAUUUAAAAAAUAAUGAAAAUUUUUGGGUAGUAUAUUUAUUUUUUUAAUCUUUUAGCUCAUUAAUUAUUAUUCAAUAUAAUAUAUUUUAUCUUGUAGUACAAUAAUUUUUUUAUUUUACCUGUUAAAUUAUUAAAGUAAGAGAUUCAUUUAUUGUAAAAUUAUAUGCCACUUGACAUCAUUAUUCAUCAUAAUGUCAACAAUAUCGCCUAUUAUAUAUAUAUAUAUCAUUGUAUGGUAAUUAUAGGAAAACUUAUUACCCUAGAAAUUAAAGUCGGAAGAAGACAAGAGUAUACAUGAACAUAAAGUUCUCGAACUAAUAUGAUUGUUUUUUUUAUUUUUUUCCCCUAAACUAGGGAUAUAUAUAUAUAUAUAUCAUUACCCAUAGCAUCUUAUGUUUUAUUUUUUCCUUUAGUAGAAUUUUCUCAUUGCAUUGAGGUUGAUUUUUUUUUUCCAUUUCGGCCAAGACACAAUCACCGCCUCAAAGACCAAGACCCUAUAAAAAAAUUAAGUAAAAGAGAAAAGGAAUAAUAAAAAAAAAGUCUCAAUAGAAUUAAAUUCAACAAUUAAAAACAUGAUUCACCAUGACAGGCUACUGAGGGAUUUUCUCGUAUCAUUAAUUACCUCAAGUCCUUAAACUAAAAUAAUGAGUGGCGGAAAUUAAUUAAGAAAAUCAAAAACAAGAAAAUAAACAAACCUUUAAAGCUUUAAAGCUCAAGUCUGCAAAACCAAAAAAGAGAUUGCGUCUUCAAUUGGUAAUUCAGAAAAUGUUAAAAUGAUUGGAUUUUUCAGAUGAACAAUUAAGUGAUUGUCCAAAGUUUUUCCACAAAGAUUCUUCUCUCUCUUUAUAUUUUUCAAAAGAGCUUAAUUAGUUUCGCGACCAAUAUUAAUGGGCAAAUUGACCUCUGCAUUUUGCUAUCAAGUAAAAGUAGGGCUUCACCAGUAGGGGCCAAAAACAAAGUUAAUUAAAAUUCGUAAGCUGAAGUUAAAAUUUUGAACCAACAAGAUAGGGACAAGAUAGAGAUUUCGCCUCUACAAUUUUGACAGUUUUUACUUUGGCUUCGAAAUUUUACUCCUAUGAGUUUUGUGGCCUUCGCAGAAUUAUAGUUUUGUGUCUAUCCCUGGUUUCAAUUAGGGUAAAUGGGAAUGUAAUUCCUGUUAAAAAAUUGAUUAUUUUAUGAUUCAACCAUUAACCCACGUUGUGAUCAGAGUUAUAGUGAAACUAAUUAGAUUGAACUUCACACUACAAUGGUAUUAAAAACACGAAGGCCCUUGCUACAAAGAGUCGCAACGUGAAUAAUUUAUCAGAAAAGUACAGACAAGAUUAUAAAAGACCGUUAAUGGACUAGACUUCGAAAAUUUUUUCACAUAAUAAUUGGCUAACUCUCUUCAUCGUUGGUCUAGACUCUGGAUUCUGAUCUAAGCAUGAAAAGGCAACCUGCAUGAUUGACAUCAAUUUUUUCUGGACAUGGAGUGAUGGAUAUGGAAGCCGAGAGUCCAACAUUUCUAUGUUCAUAUUGGAAGAUGAAGAUGACAUUUCAAAAAGGAAAUCCCUUGGAUGCUUCCCUUUGAUAACUUCUAAUGCUAACACUCCAAAACUGUACACAUCGCAUUUUUCAGUAACCUUCAAUGUGUAGGCUAGCUCUGUUGAAAGAUGAAAUUAGAUCAUCUAUGUCACACCAAUUUUUUUGCUCAGUGUAACAUAAGAAAAAAUAAAUAAAUAAAGAUCGUGAUGAUGUGAAGAUAUAAGAGUUAGUAGAGAAUUAUUAAUUCAAAGUUGUGAUACCUGGUGCAACAUAUCCGUGUGUACCGGCAAGUUCAGACCAGUUAGAGGAGUCCGGAUUGAGAAACUUGGCAAUUCCAAAAUCCGAAACAUGGGCUUCAUACCCCAAAUCCAACAGCACGUUCUUGCUCGAUAUGUCUCGAUGAACAAUUGGCGGGAAGCAAUUAUUGUGCAAGUAAAAUAAUGCAUCAGCUACACCUUUUAUCACAUUCAAUCUCUGAGUCCAACCCAAUUCUUUUGCCGAUGCAUCAUUGCAGAGGAUCUUGUCCAAGCUACCGCUUUCCAGAUACUCAUAAAUUAUAAAUGAGUGUUUGGGAUGUGAACAGAAGCCAUAAAAUUUCACAAUAUUUCGAUGUCGUAUCUCUGUCAAUGCUUGAAUUUCAUUAAGGAAUUCUUCUUGCUGAAAUGACAUCUCACCUGGAAGUGGGGAAUGAAAUUUCUUAACUGCAAAGAUUUCUCCAGAUGGCACCUUAGCUCUGUAAACACUUCCAUGUCCACCUUUUCCAAUGCAAUGCUCAGCAUUAAAAUCAUUUGUCGCACUGAUGAUUUCUUCGUAAACGAUUUUCCCUUCAAAGGUUAACACUGAACGCAACCCUGGAGUAUUUCCAAAGCUACUCUGUUGUGUUUGUGAAUCAUUUUUCCUUUGAUGGAAAAUGAAGAAAAAUCCGGUCAAAGCAAUAAAAAGGGCAACCAUACCUAAAAGAGGGAACACAAUAACAAUCCAAAUCUUCCGGGAAGCUUUUUUGUAUGACAUGCAUGAUGGAAAUCCUCUGAUAUCUCCGCACAAUCCUUUGUUUCCUUGUAAUGCCUCCAACGGAGCAUCUCUGAAUGUUGUGCUAUUAGGAAUCUGUCCCUCUAACUUGUUAUAGGAUAUGUCAAUGUGUAAUAGGCCAUGCAUCUCCUCGAAGCAUCUUGGAAUGAGACCUGAUAGGUUGUUGUAGGACAGAUUGAGCUUCUCCAAGCUUUCCAUUCUGCAGAUUCGAGAUGAUAUCUUUUCUCCCAAAAAGUUAUGACUCAAAUCUAACUCUGAAAGGUGAAUCAAAUUAUCUAAUUCAAUUGGAAUUUGUUGACUCAAUUUAUUGUGGCUCAAAUUCAAAUAAUACAAUUUAACCAAGCUGCCAAGACUUUCUGGCACAAAGUUGCUUAGAUUAUUUGCAGACAAGUCAAGGUACUCGAGAUUAAUGAGUGACCCAAGCUCUCUAGGUAUACAUCCAGAGAGUUUAUUCCCACUCAAACUAAGCCUAUUGAGAUAAAUUAUAUUUCCAAGUUGUGUUGGAAUCUCACCA